UCCCAUGUGGUCUAGUGGCAAGGAUUCCUGGCUCUCAACCAGGCGGCCCGGGUUCGAUUACCGGCAUGGGAA